AUGUCACACUUAGGGAAAUCUAAAAGACUAGAGUACCACUCCCCUUCUCCUGUUCAGCCUUACUAGGGCACCUGCUCAUGACAGAUCAGAAUAGAAGUUAGUAGCUGCAGCUGAAUUGAACGCAUGACAAAUCCCGAAUUCAGUCCCCAUCAUGUUCACAAGAAGCAAAAGCAAAGGAAGAAAACGAAUCCUUCCCUCCCCUCCUCUGUUUAAAGGCUUAAUUCCCCGAUACUUUCACUAUUUGUGUGGAUGUUACAGAAGCAGGGCCCGUUAUUUCUCUCAUGAAGGAGCCUCUGUACGCUGAGAUAUUGAGAUGUUCCAGAGGAAAAUAAAGUUCUACUGGACUCCUGUGCUCAACAAUGCAAAGAGCAAGUACACUGAAUAAUAAAGAGUCUUUGCCAUGCUGGUUAA